AGUUAUUGGUUAAAUUCAAGAGUGUAACCAGACACUGUAGUCCGAUUCCCUCAUCUCACCCGCAGGGGAGGUUAGACGGCUGCAGAGACCUGACUGUGGCUUCUUCUGCGGGGCAAUAGAUGACAAAAAGCUGCUUCUACAGCCAGGCUGCCCAUGGGAAGAAGGAGCCCUGCUGGCACGGAAUGAAGGUCCUGUGAACAGCAGGGAAAGCAGAUGGACAGGAUGUCUAGUCCUGGUAUUCCAGAUGUGGAGAGGACGGCACAGAACAGCAACAGAUAGGUGGCAGGAGUUUGGGUUGCAAUUGCGCUGCACUCACCUUUCCUGUAAGAGAUCCAUAAGUCCGAAGUUCCUGGGACUCGUAGGAAGAAAUCAUUGCGAAUGCAGAGUGUCUGGCUUAAAGGGACGUGACACGGUACUCGUUUCAAGGACACCCAACAGUGGAGUGAGGUAGGUGAUCCGCUUUUAACCCUCAGAAAUUCUUCUGGUUCAACAGGAAAAAGGGAAAGUGAAA
ensembl:lincRNA